UGAAGCUUGAGCUUCAAGGCCCUCCUGAACUGACCCUUCCCAAAGCCCCAUUAUUUCAGAUUUAUAAUUGUAUGUACUUUUCCUUACAAGGCGGCCCUCAAAGUGUAUAAUCUCCCAGCUCCGUGAAACCAGGAUCUGCCUUGGGAUGCAGGUAUCAAGGAAACUGCCAGUCCUGACUCUUGUUUGCUGUGUGACGCUGCUUCACUGACUUGACCUCUCUGAACAACCACUUCCUUGUUCUGCUGUCAUAUCUUCCCAUUGUGAGGCUCAUCUUAGACAAUCUGUGAGCCAGCCAGAAUUCUAACACGCUUUUUGAAUGCCCUGUGGGGAAGUCCAAACCCAGUGGCACCAGGUGACAGGAGAGAAUGAGGAGCUUGGGACAAGGGCUGCUGGAGAAAGUGACAUGUGAGCUAAACCCGGCAAGUUGCAUCUAAUGUGGUCACCAGGUGCUGAAGGGACGAUCACUAGCAGAGAGAAGAGCAUGCUAAGACCUGGAGGGGGGGUGUGUGUGUGUAUAGGUGUUUGUGUAGGAGGGUGCUUGUUGUGGGUCGGAAGGACUUGCUGGUUGUCUGUCUACCUAGAGCCUCAGGCUCUCUGUGCUCUCACCCUUCCCCACCCCAGAGUGCACACAGGAGA